CAGUGUGUGUGUGUGUUUGUGUGUGUGUGUGUGUGUGUGUGUGUGUGUGUGUGUGUGUGUGUGUAUGGGGGAAUCCAAGUGUGGGUUACAUGGGUGUCGGG